GACGAACGCUGGCGGCGUGCUUAACACAUGCAAGUCGAACGGAAAGGCCCUGCUUUUGUGGGGUGCUCGAGUGGCGAACGGGUGAGUAACACGUGAGUAACCUGCCCUUGACUUUGGGAUAACUUCAGGAAACUGGGGCUAAUACCGGAUAGAAGCUCCUGCUGCAUGGUGGGGGUUGGAAAGUUUCGGCGGUUGGGGAUGGACUCGCGGCUUAUCGGCUUGUUGGUGGGGUAGUGUCUUACCAAGGCUUUGACGGGUAGCCGGACUGGGAGGGUGACCGGCCACAUUGGGACUGAGGUACGGCCCAGAGUGCUACGGGAGGCAGCAGUGGGGAAUAUUGCACAAUGGGCGGAAGCCUGAUGGAGCAACGCCGCGUGCGGGAUGACGGCCGUCGGGUUGUAAACCGCUUUCGCCUGUGACGAAGCGUGAGUGACGGUAAUGGGUAAAGAAGCACCGGCUAACUACGUG
rnacentral:rRNA from 1 species